CGGGGGGAGUUCCGGUUCCGGUUCUUUGUGCAGCUGCAGCAGCGGCUCCGGGGAAGAUGGCGGCCCGGGCGGGUUUCCAGUCUGUGGCUCCGAGCGGCGGCGCUGGAGCCUCAGGGGGGGCGGGCGCGGCGGCUGCCCUGGGCCCGGGCGGGACUCCGGGGCCUCCCGUGCGAAUGGGCCCGGCGCCGGGUCAAGGGCUGUACCGCUCCCCGAUGCCCGGAGCGGCCUAUCCGAGACCAGGUAUGCUUCCAGGCAGCCGAAUGACACCUCAGGGACCUUCCAUGGGACCCCCUGGCUAUGGGGGGAAUCCUUCAGUCCGACCUGGCCUGGCCCAGUCAGGGAUGGACCAGUCCCGCAAGAGACCUGCGCCUCAGCAGAUACAGCAGGUCCAGCAGCAGGCGGUCCAAAAUCGAAACCACAAUGCAAAGAAAAAGAAGAUGGCUGACAAAAUUCUACCUCAAAGGAUUCGUGAACUGGUACCAGAAUCCCAGGCCUAUAUGGAUCUCUUGGCUUUUGAAAGGAAGCUGGACCAGACUAUCAUGAGGAAACGGCUAGAUAUCCAGGAGGCCUUGAAACGUCCCAUCAAGCAAAAACGGAAGCUGCGAAUUUUCAUUUCUAACACUUUCAAUCCGGCUAAGUCAGAUGCCGAGGAUGGGGAAGGGACGGUGGCUUCCUGGGAGCUUCGGGUAGAAGGACGGCUCCUGGAGGAUUCAGCCUUGUCCAAAUAUGAUGCCACCAAACAAAAGAGGAAAUUCUCUUCUUUUUUUAAGUCCUUGGUGAUCGAACUGGACAAAGACCUGUAUGGGCCAGACAACCAUCUGGUAGAAUGGCACAGGACCGCCACUACCCAGGAGACGGAUGGCUUCCAGGUGAAGCGGCCAGGAGAUGUGAAUGUACGGUGUACUGUCCUACUGAUGCUGGACUACCAGCCUCCCCAGUUUAAAUUAGACCCUCGCCUGGCUCGGCUCCUGGGCAUCCACACCCAGACCCGUCCAGUGAUCAUCCAAGCACUGUGGCAAUAUAUUAAGACACACAAGCUCCAGGACCCUCAUGAGCGGGAGUUUGUCAUCUGUGACAAGUACCUCCAGCAGAUCUUUGAGUCUCAACGUAUGAAGUUUUCAGAGAUCCCUCAACGGCUCCAUGCCUUGCUUAUGCCACCAGAGCCCAUCAUCAUUAAUCAUGUCAUCAGUGUUGACCCGAAUGAUCAGAAAAAGACCGCCUGUUAUGACAUUGAUGUGGAAGUGGAUGAUACUUUGAAGACCCAGAUGAAUUCUUUUCUGCUGUCUACUGCCAGCCAGCAGGAGAUUGCUACUCUAGACAACAAGAUCCAUGAGACAAUAGAAACUAUCAAUCAGCUGAAGACCCAGCGGGAGUUCAUGCUGAGCUUUGCCAGAGACCCUCAGGGUUUCAUCAAUGAUUGGCUUCAGUCCCAAUGCCGGGACCUCAAGACCAUGACUGAUGUGGUGGGGAACCCAGAGGAAGAGCGCCGAGCUGAGUUUUACUUCCAGCCUUGGGCCCAGGAGGCUGUGUGCCGAUACUUCUACUCCAAGGUGCAGCAGAGACGACAAGAAUUAGAGCAAGCCCUGGGAAUUCGAAAUACAUAGGGCCUCCCUCACAGCCCUGAUUCGGCUGCACCGAUUCUUAUUUGGGCCCUGUGCUGCCUGCCUCAUAGCACCUGCCUUGGUCUUGCUUGGGGCCUUCCAGGGGAUGCUGUUGGUUCAAGGACAACACCAGAAUGAAGAGGGUCUCACAUUUCUGUCUUAUCAGACACCUGUUACCCUCUUCUCCCACCCCAUCCCUUCCUGUCCCCCAGCUUCCCUUUGCCCCACAAAGUUCCCAUGUGCCUCUACCCUCCCCUGGUCUACAUAGGACCUCUAGAUAGUAUUAGAGAGAACCUGUAGUGGUAAUCAGUGCAUUGAAUGGAUUGGGCCUAAGGCCAGGUGGUCUUCAAGGGGACCGGCUACACUGACCCUGCCCUUCAGAGACCCAGGAGUUGGGAGCUUUAGCCCCUUCUCUGAGACUCAGGCCUGGGGGCACUCUAUAAGCUAGUUGAUCUUGGCUCUCCUGAUAACAGAAUCCAAUUUCCUUCCUUCCCUCCACAGGUUUGGAGCACACCCCUCCUUCACUUGUUGCCCUCUAGCACUAAAGGAACCCUGGUUCUUGGGCUCCACUGAGCCCCAGGUCAGUCCGCAGCCCUCUGGAUUGGCCUGCUGUCUCAGUGCUUCUCUUACUCCCUCGUAGGGGGUCCACAUCAGUAUUGGAGUUUGUUUUUUAACUGUUGCUCCCUCCCAGCACACUCCCUAUAGCUGCUCUUUGUAGGAUUCCUCUGCUAUCCAUCGUCCUAAUUCAGGGCAUUUGGGUGGGGGGAUCUUGCCUUUCCCUGUCAGAGCCCCAGGGAUCUAACCUGGGGUACUAUCAUUGCCAGCAGAGGCUGUUCCUGCUGUUGCUUGGAGGUGUGACUCAUUUAUUCACUCCACCCUGCCUCCCUCAUCCUUUCAUGGAGAAACAGGCCUGAAAUCAAACGGGUAAAAGCCCUGGGCCAUCCCUGUCUUCCUGUCCCUUGUUUGCCCAGUUGACACCCACUGGUGACUUCUAGGGCACUGAGGAGUGAAAGCGCCUAGGGCUAGCAAAUAGCUCUGAGUUGGGUUUGUGACUCUUCCCUCUCCCUGCCUCACAGGAUUGUGACUCCCCAGCCCCUGCCCUCAAAGCUUCAGACCCCUCAGGUAGCAGCAGGACCUUGUGAUCUUGGCCCCUUGGAACUGAGAUGGUUUUGCAUCUUUCCAGGAGAGCCUCAGAUUCUUCUUCCAGGUUCCACUUCAUGGUCCUGAGUGAGAUUUCAGUUCUUCAGACCAGCAGAGAAGUGUUGUCCUCUCCAUACUACAAAUGAUCAGCCCCUCUGCAGAGUUGAGAAGACUGCUCAGGAUUGAUCUGUCUGCAGAAGCAUGAAAUUCUGCAGUUCGCAUCAUAAUGUGCCAGCUUCCCACCUGGUGGCAUUGUCUAGCUUGGUUCUACCCAUGAAAGGGUUUAGAAUGUAGGAUGAGUGCAAUGCAGUCCAAAGUUGUAAAAAAAUUCUCCUUCGCCUCCACGGAUGGGAACACCCAAGUAUUGUCUGCAUGCAGUCAAACCCACCAAGGAUGCAGCCUGUUCCCAAUUUGGAACUUGGGGGUUUACCAGACUUGAGUAGGAAAAACAGAAGAACGUGUGGGGUGAGAACUUGGGAGUGGAAAAAAUUGAUGUCAAGGACAUUGACAUGGCAUCUGUUUUUACCCAGGCUAAUUACAUGUGUAAUGAAUGGCUGAUGAACCAUUAUUAAUUUCAAGCAAAUAAUCUACAGUUUGCUCUUGGGAAAAGAGCUCUGGUACAGAUAACUUCCUGUGAUGAGCUAAUUCUGAAUCUGCACACUCUUUAUUCGUAUAUAAAUGCACAAUUUCUUUGUCUCCAUACUUAGUAAGAUGAUUUUAAGGGCAAAAUGAGAGAAGGAAGCAUUUAGGCAAAAACAAGGGGGUUGUUUUAUGCAUAAGCGUCCAUUCUCUGGGAUUCCCAUCAUAUGCACCAGGGACAGAAGCAUUCUUUCUCUUCCAUCACCCAUAAUCAGUGUUCCCAGCUGGCACUUGGCACUGGUGCCUUUGUCUUUGUGCCAGUGCAAUAAUGGAGCGAUCUGUGGGAGGCUGGCUUUGUAGCAGGUGCAACUUUACUCCUAAGGGAAACCAACUACCAACUUCGUGUAUAUUUCCCUAUGGGAACUCCCUGGCCAUGGGAGGGGAAUAUGGUGGGCUCUUCUCAGGCAGUCCCUAGAACUUAGAAAAACCUUUUCUCCACAGACUUGCCCUCGAGCCCAUUUACUCUUACACAGUGGUUGCACACAGACUCCCCUCUGGCCUAGUGCUCGUUGCUGUUGGCGGCCAGCAGUGGCCCAGAGGGAUGAAAACACCCACUCAGCAAUCUGCCAAGCCAGGAGGUCAGCACAUGAGCAGACAGUGGCGUCUGCCCUUUAGGCCAAGGUGCAGGGACAGCUGGAGUGUUACAGCCAUUUGUCCCAUUCCAGUUCGGCCUAGAAACCGGAGCUGCUUCUCUUCUCAAAUGGCUGUGGGUGAUGUAGGGCCCUGGACUGUUCAAUGUGUUCUUUCUUUUUUUUAAUGUUUAUUUUUGA